AGAGACAGACAUAACCUGAGUGACUGGUGGUUUGUAUUUUUCAAACUACUCAAAAUUAAAUACACUGCUCCUAGUGUUACAAUGAGGAUUUUUUGUCAGCACUAUCAAAUCAAAACCUUCAGUUCACCUCCAUUAUGGCUCUUAAUUUUAAAUUUGUUUUGGAAAUUUUAAAUCCCAUCCCCACACAAACAUGGAUACAUAUUGUUAUAGUUUCAUUGUAUCAGAUUGUAUGAUGGAGGGAAUCAUCCCCCUCUUCAUCAUCCCCUCAAGAUGGCCGUAGUGAUAGAGAGCACAGAAACAGCUCUUACUAAAGUCAUCAGUGACCUAAACAACAGUGACUCACAGAGACUUUCAGUUUUAGUUCUACUUUAUUUCACUGCUGCAUUCAACACUGUUGAUCAUGACAAUUUCAUUCAAAGACUUCAUGACUCAGUUGGUUUAACAGGUCCAGUUCUCAAUUGUUUUUCAUCAUAUCAUAUCAAAAUCUCUGUUUCAAUUAGCAGUUUUAGAUCUAUAUAUAAAUAUUUAAUCAGGGGUUCCUCAAGGGUCUAUUCUUUGUUUAUUAUUCUUUAACCUACAUGCUUCUUCUUACUACUCUCACAAAGAAUCAUCCCGCCAAUCUUAUGUUGAUGAUACACAAUUGUGCUAAUGUUUUUAUUUUCUGAUGAUUGAACCUCUGUUCACAAACUAAUGAGGUGCAUCGAUGACAUUAAUUUGCUGGAUGCCUCAAAACUUUUUGGAAUUAAACAGAGACAAGACAGAAAUAUUUCUUGUUGAUCCAAAAUGUUAGAGACUGACAAACUGCUCAUAUAUACUAUUCCUGUCUCUGAAACGAGUUAACAACCUUGGCAUCAUUUUGGACAGUUUUAAUAAUUAGAUCAAAAAAGGUCACCACAAUUACUCUCCUUCACUUACAAAUAUAUGGUUAGGUUAGAAAGGUUAGAGAAUUCUUGUCUCAAACUGACUAUAAGAAUAAGUCCAUGUAUUCAUAUCAAGCAGGUCUGUUUGCAGGAUUAUCCAAAUCCUGAUGUUCGUUCAAUACGUAGCAGUCAGAGUUCUUAUAGGUAUGCAAAAAUUUGAUCAUGUUCCCCCAGUAUUGAAGUCACAUUAUUGGCUCCUGUGAUCUAUGUCCUUUCUUUUCAGUGGUGGUGUGACUACAGCACAUUUGAGAGAAACAAAGAUGAAUGUUGGAUCUACGGACAGGCCGGCCACUGAAGAUGUACAGAAGGCUUUUGAUAGGGGCCAGCUUCCCCGCUGACCCCAGCAGGCACCCCCGUUCCCUGGAAUCCAUCAAGGCCAUGGGGCCCAGGCUCAUCUGGACCAGGGCCCACCACAGCAGCGCCAAGCCCCACACAGCCCGGGGCAGCCCACCCGACCCCACUGCAGAGGAAACUACACCCACCCUAUCAUCCAAUCAUCUCCCAGACUACAUAAGACAAUAGACACCCAGGUUGAGUCCAUUUACCAUCUUUUUAGAGCCAUUAGCUAUUCAAAUUAGAGAAAAUGCAGAGAUUAAAGGUGUAUUCGUGGGAGGUAGAGAACACAAAUUGUUCCUGUACGCAGAUGACAUCCUGGUAUUAAGCCAAGAACCUACUAAUUCUAUCACAACGCUAUUAGAGGGGAUUAAUAAUUAAUCUGUGUUUUCCAGGUACAAAAUUAAUUGGCAUAAAUCAGAGGUGAUGCUAGUCUCCCAAGCUUGUAGUCAUAACCUAAUAUCGGGCUUAACUUUAAGUGGGUGGACAAAGGAACGAAGCAUCUUGGAAUUGAAUUGAACCCAAAUAUUGAGGAUAUUAUGGCUAACAAUAUGGGAAAAUUAAUAAACAAAAUUAAUAAAAACUUAGACAAAUGGAGUAAACUAAAUUUGACAUAGUGGGGAAAAGUAAACACAGUAAAAAUGGCUGUAGCAUCACGUAUCAACUAUUAUAUGGGAAUGUUGCCUAUCCUACAGCAGAUGUUACAAAGUUACAAUAAUAUGAUAAAAAUAAAGAUAGUCAUUGCUGACUUUGUUCAGUGGUGUGAGCACUCUUAUCUCCAAUUGAACAUAUCUAAAACAAAAGAAAUGGUUAUUGAUUUUAAGAAAAAACAAAAUGGGCAUGGAGUCACUUUAAUUGAAGGUCAGAAAAUAGAGCAAGUCCAAUCAUAUAAAUAUCUUGGGAUCAUAAUCAGUGAAAAAAUUAACUUUGAUGAGAAUUGCAAAAAUGGUCACCAGCACCUUUACUGCCUCAGGAAACUUGCUCAUUUCCACAUUGACUGAAAAAUUGUAACUUUGUUUUAUCGUUCAUUAAGUCUUUUUUAUCUUUUAGUUUAGUGACAUGGUUCGGUUAGACCUCUGUCACAGAGAAAAACUCAAUGAAUCAGAUAGUGAGAUGGUCCAGCCAUCUGGUAGUUGAGUCACAGUCCUGUUUAGCCUUCCAGUACUCUAAUGGUUCCCAUCCUCUGCGGGGUGAAUUUCAGCUUCUUUCCUCAGGAUGAAGGUUUUUAGUUCCAAGAUGCAGAACAAAGCGUUAUAAAACCAGCUUUGUCCCUGUUGCUGUCACUGAAAUCAAUAACAAUUGUUUUUUAAUUUAAUUCAUUUUAUUUAACUACUAAAUAUGUGUUUUGUCAGGUUUCAUUAGGUGCGUGUGUUCGUGAAGGAAUGCCAAAUGCUAUCAUUUUUCUGUAAAGCAAAUUUAUCUAUGGGUAUAAAUAAAGGAACCUUAAGCUUA